CUGACUUUCCCACCCUGGUUUGGGUUGUUUAUGGUUUAGUGUCUUUUUGUGUUUCUGUUUUGUCACAGCUUGACGAAUCCUGGACAGCGCAGAGGGAAAAAGGAUAAGACGAAAAGUCGCUUUGGGGAGAUGACAGCCUGCACCGGAGCUGAUGGCAAGGCUUUUGGAAAAAGGUCGGAGAAAUGUCUGUUGGGCAUCUGCUCAACAGCUGACAAGGUUUUGGAUAAUGUUAAAGAUUCCCUCUAGAAUGUAAGCUCAUUGAGCAGGGCC